GACGAACGCUGUCGGCGUGCUUAACACAUGCAAGUCGAACGGAAAGGCCCUGCUUUUGUGGGGUGCUCGAGUGGCGAACGGGUGAGUAACACGUGAGUAACCUGCCCUUGACUUUGGGAUAACUUCAGGAAACUGGGGCUAAUACCGGAUAGGAGCUCCUGCUGCAUGGUGGGGGUUGGAAAGUUUCGGCGGUUGGGGAUGGACUCGCGGCUUAUCAGCUUGUUGGUGGGGUAGUGGCUUACCAAGGCUUUGACGGGUAGCCGGCCUGAGAGGGUGACCGGCCACAUUGGGACUGAGAUACGGCCCAGACUCCUACGGGAGGCAGCAGUGGGGAAUAUUGCACAAUGGGCGGAAGCCUGAUGCAGCAACGCCGCGUGCGGGAUGACGGCCUUCGGGUUGUAAACCGCUUUCGCCUGUGACGAAGCGUGAGUGACGGUAAUGGGUAAAGAAGCACCGGCUAACUACGUGCCAGCAGCCGCGGUGAUACGUAGGGUGCGAGCGUCGUCCGGAUUUAUUGGGCGUAAAGGGCUCGUAGGUGGUUGAUCGCGUCGGAAGUGUAAUCUUGGGGCUUAACCCUGAGCGUGCUUUCGAUACGGGUUGACUUGAGGAAGGUAGGGGAGAAUGGAAUUCCUGGUGGAGCGGUGGAAUGCGCAGAUAUCAGGAGGAACACCAGUGGCGAAGGCGGUUCUCUGGGCCUUUCCUGACGCUGAGGAGCGAAAGCGUGGGGAGUGAACGGGCUUAGAUACCCUGGUAGUCCACGCUGUAAACGGUGGGUACUAGGUGUGGGGUCCAUUCCACGGGUUCCGUGCCGUAGCUAACGCUUUAAGUACCCCGCCUGGGGAGUACGGCCGCAAGGCUAAAACUCAAAGGAAUUGACGGGGCCCCGCACAAGCGGCGGAGCAUGCGGAUUAAUUCGAUGCAACGCGUAGAACCUUACCUGGGUUUGACAUGGAUCGGGAGUGCUCAGAGAUGGGUGUGCCUCUUUUGGGGUCGGUUCACAGGUGGUGCAUGGCUGUGGUCAGCUCGUGUCGUGAGAUGUUGGGUUAAGUCCCGCAACGAGCGCAACCCUUGUUCACUGUUGCCAGCACGUUAUGGUGGGGACUCAGUGGAGACCGCCGGGGUCAACUCGGAGGAAGGUGGGGAUGACGUCAAGUCAUCAUGCCCCUUAUGUCCAGGGCUUCACGCAUGCUACAAUGGCUGGUACAGAGAGUGGCGAGCCUGUGAGGGUGAGCGAAUCUCGGAAAGCCGGUCUCAGUUCGGAUUGGGGUCUGCAACUCGACCUCAUGAAGUCGGAGUCGCUAGUAAUCGCAGAUCAGCAACGCUGCGGUGAAUACGUUCCCGGG
rnacentral:rRNA from 1 species